rnacentral:rRNA from 1 species
AUGAACGCUGGCGGCGUGCCUAAUCCCUGCAAGUCGAGCGAACAGAUGAGGAGCUUGCUCCUCUGACGUUAGCGGCGGACGGGUGAGUAACACGUGGAUAACCUACCUAUAAGACUGGGAUAACUACGGGAAACCGGAGCUAAUACCGGAUAAUAUAUUGAACCGCAUGGUUCAAUAGUGAAAGACGGUUUUGCUGUCACUUAUAGAUGGAUCCGCGCCGCAUUAGCUAGUUGGUAAGGUAACGGCUUACCAAGGCAACGAUGCGUAGCCGACCUGAGAGGGUGAUCGGCCACACUGGAACUGAGACACGGUCCAGACUCCUACGGGAGGCAGCAGUAGGGAAUCUUCCGCAAUGGGCGAAGGCCUGACGGAGCAACGCCGCGUGAGUGAUGAAGGUCUUCGGAUCGUAAAACUCUGUUAUUAGGGAAGAACAAAUGUGUAAGUAACUAUGCACGUCUUGACGGUACCUAAUCAGAAAGCCACGGCUAACUACGUG